rnacentral:rRNA from 1 species
AGCGAACGCUGGCGGCAGGCCUAACACAUGCAAGUCGAACGAACCUUUCGGGGUUAGUGGCGGACGGGUGAGUAACACGUGGGAACGUGCCUUUAGGUUCGGAAUAACUCAGGGAAACUUGUGCUAAUACCGAAUGUGCCCUUCGGGGGAAAGAUUAAUCGCCUUUAGAGCGGCCCGCGUCUGAUUAGCUAGUUGGUUGAGGUAAUGGCUCACCAAGGCGACGAUCAGUAGCUGGUCUGAGAGGAUGAUCAGCCACAUUGGGACUGAGACACGGCCCAAACUCCUACGGGAGGCAGCAGUGGGGAAUCUUGCGCAAUGGGCGAAAGCCUGACGCAGCCAUGCCGCGUGAAUGAUGAAGGUCUUAGGAUUGUAAAAUUCUUUCACCGGGGACGAUAAUGACGGUACCCGGAGAAGAAGCCCCGGCUAACUUCGUU